AGAGAGUUGAGCAUGAGUGGGAGGAGGGGCACAGGGAGAGGGACAAGCAAGAGCCCAAUGUAGGGCUCAAUCCCAGGAUCCCAAGAUCAUGACCUGAGCUGAAGUCAGAAGCUUAACUGACUGAGCCAGGCACCCUGGAUGUGUUCUAAUCAGAGACCCCCCCAAGGCCCUGUACAUUAAACACAGUGGCUUUGCAGAUUAACUGUAUGACCAUCAUAGAAAAUUAAACAUGAGGGAGUAGAUGCUACUAUGCAAAAUCCUGGCGUGUAACAAGGAGAGCAAAGAAACAAGAAUAGCUUCUGCAAAACUCCCCCUAGCAAAUGGAGGUGGUUUGAUAUGGAGAAAAUGAAGGGUUAGAAAAAUUGAAGGUAAACAAGAAAGGGCUUUUGCUCAGGAAGCAAAGAAUAGAAGCCAUUACUUCUUAUGUCUACUCUGCAUGCUAAGAGGGUCUUAGUCACUGCUGUAGGUCUUGCAUAUAGCAAAAUACCUAGAAACUAAAAAGAGUUAAACAAAUGUUUGCUAGAGAUAAUAGGAAGGAAAGAAGAUAAAAAGGAAGAAAGGAAAGAAUACAGGAAGGAAGAAAGGCAGUCAGCAAGUGGGGGAAACAGAUGAAACUAGAAUGAGUUAACCUAUUAAUGUCUCAUUUUUAUGUAAAAUGGGAAUAUUGAAGGUUGUAAGAGAUAACACAUGGAAAGUGCUUACUAUAGUGUCUGGUGUAAUGGAAGUGCUCCAGAAAUGCUAGAUAUUGUCAUCCUUGUCAUCAUCACCCUCAUCACUACCAUUAUCCCUUACGGCAGAAAUGCUUUGCUUGGCCAUGACCUACUAACACAUAGUGAUAAUCCUCCUUCUCACAUUUCAACAUACUUUAACUUCCAACUCCUGACACUCCAAGAAUUCACUCCUGCCAAAUUUACUGAUAACACCUUUGUUGAAAAAUCCAGAGAACAGUUUCUUACCUGACUUCACUGCAGCACUUAUCAUUACUGAUGAAUUCUUAAUUUUGGAAGCCCUCUGCCUCUCUGGCUUUUGUUCUUCCUUUGCCUUCAGCCAUUACUCAGUGUCCUUCCUGAGCUGCUUAUCCUGGCCUCACAACUUGAGGGUUGGGAUUCUCCAGGUUCAAGAACAAACAAAAGUCAAACAUGUUCUUAAAAUUUAAUUCAUUUUCCAGAGAAUAGAGAAAAUGACAUAAUAGUCAAUAUUAGUCUGCAGACCAGAUUGUAGAAAAAAAUUAUUCUGCAUAUGUUAAUGGUCCACAUAGAAGGCAUAGCUUAUUUUUCCAUCCUGCAUCAAAUAUAUUUUUCACAAAUGAAAUGAUAAGAAUUUGGUUUCUCUAAAAGUGAUACAUCAAAGAAAUACCUUUCUCAAUCAGGUAUAGUCAGUCAUUCUGGGUGGCACUUGAAUUUUUCAAAUGCCCAUGCUAUCCUUCACAAGUUUAAGAAGUACUUGAUGAUGAGCUAGAGGCAAGUACAUGCAUCUUAUUCUGAGUUUUUAAUCCCAUUACUAUCAACCCUUAGAAAUAAUUCUAUAAAUUCUAUAAUACUUGCAUAGUGCAUAUUUUAACUUUGCUUUUAUAGUCAGUUUUCCUCAUAUUAUUAUUUUAGAAUACUAAUUGCAAAAGUAAUACUAAUAAAAUAUAUCAAAAAGAUUAUAGUUAACCUGGGGAAAAAUACAAGAGAUUUAUCAAGUAACAAAACAUGUUUUCAGCAUCUUCGGUGUUAAUCCAAUGAAAUUCAGUGAGUCUAGGCUUCAAAUGCAUACACAUAUGGCACAAGUGAACCAACCCAAUUUGUACUGACAAGAACAGGUGUCUGUAGGUAGGUCAUUGAAAGUCAUCAUAAACUGGAACAGGUUUACUAGUACAUAAAUCUUAAUUUGUAGAUACUUGUUUUACAAGAUAGCGAUAGGCACAUUAUAGACUAUAUGUAUAGAUGGGGGACUUGUGCCAUGUUCCUGAACCAUAGGGCAUGAGGUUCACCUUGCACAAUAUGGUUUAUCAAUCCGUUAGCAGACGCAUUUCAUUGUGAGAAAUCCUUAAGCUGUUCUCUGGAGAAGUUGAUGUUUCUAACAUCUAUAGGUAUCCCAUAUGGCAUAGAUAAGGAGAUAAUUAUGAAAAGAUGCAGGUUAUCAUAGGGAAAAUUUCCUUUACGUUAUUUUGCCUAAAUCUAGAAAAUCUGAGUUUACUUCUAGACCACCAGAGCCUGGGAAAUAUAGUUUGCUUUCUGAAAGAGAAUUAAAGAACUCCUUAUAAGAAAGGCCCUAAACGUACAGCAUAAAAAGAAAGAAAAAUGUAUGUCAUCCCUUGGUUAUGAUUUCUCUGCUUAACUUGCACAGAUAAAAUGUCAGCCAGCCCCAUUACCAUCCAGUCAAAUCUUCAAACCACACCACUUCCUCCUUCAUAAUAUCUCUCACUUCAGGUUCCUGAUAUCUUGAGUGGCCCAUUGCCAUCGUUUCUCUGCUCCAACUGAGCCUGUGCAACUCAGCCAUAAAAUUAUACCCCCAAAUGCAGUUUUAGAUAGAUAAAUUCUCAGCAAAAAUUAUUUAAAUGACCCUCUCUUACUUCUAGGAUCAACUUCUAAGUAUUUACUCUGGCUUCCUUCAAUACUCAGUCAAAUGUGGCUUCGAUCACUCUCCUUUAACUUCCUUUCUCAAAUAAUCUUCCUCUAUACUCAAAUAAACAAACAAAAAAGCAGAAUCAGACCUAUAAGCACAGAAAACAAACUGAGGUUGCCAGAGGGGAGGCAGUGGGGGAUGAACAAAAUGGGUAAAAGGGAGACAGAGGCUUCCAGUUGUGGAAUGAAGAAGUGAGGAGAAUAAAGCACAGCUAGGAAUCAGUCAGUGAUACUGUAAGGGCACGUGUGGUGACAGAUGGCAGCUACACUUGUGUAAGCAUAGCAUGGAUAGAGGAUUUGAAUCAUGAUGUUGUACACCUGAAACAAAUGUAGCAUGGUGUGUCUACUAUUCUCAAAUAAAAGAAGAAAAAACUCCCCUCAAAACUACCAAAGCCUCUGGCCCAGUGAAAUGGAAUUGGUUAUCAUCUCUAUGCCUUUACUGGCCUGAACUUCCCUUUGUUUGUUUUUUUUCCUAACUUUUUUGAACAAACCCAGGAUCACAUCUUACAGAAAUCUUUUCCUGACGUGCUUCCUAAUCAGCCCCCACUCUGUGCUCCCUUUCCACUCUGAGCCUAACAUGCAUUGCACUGAACUGUAACCACCGAUUUUAUUUCUCUUGAAAGAGAUCUGAUUCUGUGUCCCAUUCAACUUUGCAUUGGAAGUGCUUUACCCAGGCCCAGGUGUGAAGACAAACUGGGAAUUCAGCAGAUGUUUUAAGAUCAGUGAUUAGGCCAAUUCAAAUUUGCCCCCCUCCCCAACAAAAAAGUGUGUGUGUGUGUGUGUGUGUGUGUGUGUGCACGUGUGCAUUGGCACACACACCUAGAGAAUUUAAUUAAGUUAUUUGGAUUAUAUGUGAUAUAAAUAGCCUUGCAAAUAAUUAAAAUAGUGACUGGGAUACCUGGGUGGUUCAGUUGGUUAAAUGUCUGCUUUUGGCUCAGGUCAUGAUCCCAGGGUCCUAGGAUCGAUCCCCCCGUGGGGCUCUCUGUUCGGCAGGGAGUCUGCUUCUCCCUCUCUCUCUGCCUCUCUCCCCCACCCUGCUCCGCUCACGCAUGCUCUCUCUCAAAUAAAUAAAAGCUUUUUUUAAAAAUAAAAUAAGUGGUGAUUACCAAAAGAGAGGUAUUUAAAAAAAGCUCUCUACUUGUCUUUGGGUUUUAUUUUUUUAUUUAUUUUUUUAAGAUUUCAUUUAUUUAUUCAUGAGAGACACAGACAGAGAGAGGGGCAGAGACACAGGCAGAGGGAGAAGCAGGUUCCAUGUAGGGAGCCUGAUGUGGGACUCGAUCCUGGGACAACCUGGGCUGAAGGCAGCGCUAAACCGCUGAGCCACCCAGGGAUCCCCUGUCUUUGGGUUUUAAAAUGGUGCUGUCAUCAGUAGUACUGGCAAAGCCAGGCUCAGAAAUAAACUGUGAGAAGCACUAGGUAAGAGAACAGCUAUACUUACUGAGGGCGGACUAUGUGCUAAGGAUGGUUCUAAGUGUUUUACAAGUAGUAACUCCUCUAUUAUACACAGUGAUCCCACAGUGUAGACUGAUCAUGGUGUGGGGUUGUACUACUGGAUUGCAUAAAGGCACGUGGCAGAGAGUGGGCGUAGGGGCUACAAUUCCACCCUCAUUCAGCGCAUCUUGUCCUUGCCUUGGCAUGGGAAUGAAGGAGUUCCGAUUUCUUCACACAAAGACGCCUUUAGGUUGCAAAGUUAAUAGGCAACUGUCUUUUUCCAAAUUCACACAAAGCGACAGCAUAAGCAAGUGGCAUCCCUGGGGGUAGGCGCUAUUAUUAUUCCCAUCUUACAGAUAAGGAUAUGGAGACACAAGGAAGUUAAGGAAUCUGCCAAAGGUACACGAUGGAUAGGUGACAGUGACGAGAUAGGUACAAACCCAGUCUCCUGGCUCCAGGGUCUGCACCUGUUAGCACUGUGAUAUCUGCUUUUCUGUUACAUGUUUGAAAUGCUUUCUCCAAUCUGGUUGACAUUCUUGAAUUUUACAUUAACUCACUUAAUCCUCACAAUAACCCCUAAGGAACUGGCCCCUUAGGACACACGGCUAUGCCUCGGGCUCUAAUCCUAAGAGAUGGUCCUUUGUGAGCAAGGCUGUGUCUUGGUGGAAACAGAGCCAAAGAGACACUUCAGUGAUCAGAACUAAUUGGCUAAUUGAUAUGCUUCAGACAUCUUGCCAAGCAAAAGAGAGUUUAAUUAAAACAAAAUAUUAUUGGUAGUACUGGGAGUUAAAUUGGUGGGGCCUGAGAAAUGUUGUUAGACCUGAAAUUAAUAGAUAUCAAGAAAGUCCCAACAAUAUGUUUAUAGGUUAUUGUUAUUGGGAGGGAGGCCACUACAUAAAGCAAAGUCACAAAGAAUUGGAUUUGCAAAUGCAAAAUGCAGUUGAAUAUUAGAUUACGUGCAGUAUCUCAUGUUAGAAAGGAAGGGAAGGAUUGCUCAGUAGAUAGUACUGAGACAACUGGAUUAGCAUUUAAAAAAUAAAACUGCAUCCUCACCUAUGUAUGAAAUGACUUAUAUGCUAGAUUAUUUAAGGUAGUAAAAUUUUUGACAACAGAAUUUAGGCAUACCCUAAAUGAGUUGAUAAAUAUGCUAUAAUCUUACAAUGAACACUUUAAUUUAAAAUGCUGUUUCAUUUUUUAUUUGCAUAUAAAACGCUUUUUCCAGUUUUAUUGAGGUAUAACUGACAAAAACUGUACAUAUUUAAGGUGUAUAGUGUCAUGAUUUGAUAUACCUACAUAUUAAAAACACGUUGUUUUUUUUAAAGAUUUUAUUUAUUUAUUCAUGAGAGACACACACACACAGAGAGAGAGAGAGAGAGAGAGAGAGAGAGAGAGAGAGAGGCAGAGACGCAGGCAGAGGGAGAAGCAGGCUCCAUGCAGUGAGCCUGACGUGGGACUCGAUCCUGGGACUCCAGGAUCACGCCCUGAGCCGAAGGCAGACGCUCAACUGCUGAGCCACCCAGGCAUUCCACAUUGUUUCUUUUUAAAACAAAAUAAAAACCAAAAAAGCUCUAUAUAAACAUUUUUAUUUUGCUUGUUUAUGAAAGAAACCUAUCUCUAGAAGAAUAUAUAAGACAUCAACAAAUUUUUUUAUUUCUGGGUAAGGACACUGGUAGCGACGGCACACAAGUAGGGGGAAAACUUCAUUGCUUUACACACUUUGCGCCAUGUACUAUAUUACCUAUUCAAACAAUUCAACUAAAAAUAUAAAACAAAACAAAAAAAAAGAUCUUAGUUUGACUCCCAGAGCUUGUACUUAGUGAACUUUGGGCUAGUUUAUUCAAUUGUCACAGACUCAUUAUCUUUUUUGUAAGAUGGUGAUUAUGAUCCUUUCUCAUUGUUUUAUGAGAUUUAAAUAAGAUAAUAUAUGAAAGCAUCCUACUACAGAACCUGAUAUAUAGUAGACAAAAUACUAGAUCUUGUUUUCAUCACUUCCCUUUUGCAGAGGACACAAACUCAGUGGCUAAUGAUUCAUGCAGUCAAUAGAAAUGUAUGAAAUGGGUUGAAUGUAGGAGAUUAGGUGGUGAUAGGGACUGAUAAAUUAAAGGUACUCAUUAUUAUCCAUGUGUACAUCAAAGUAUAAAUUAUACAUAUGUAUGUACAACACGUAUAUGAGGUCUGCUGGCUAUUCUCAUUUUGCUUUUCUAUGGGUAUCUGCAUUUUACAAAAUUAUGUGAAAAUACAAUAUGUGUUUCAAACCACUGAAAAAUCAUUUCAGCUGUAUCACACUGAUGUUAAAAUUAAAAUACGUUUCAAGUAGGUCUCCAAUAGUAACUUUCUCUGAGUUGAGUUAUUUAAUAUUAUUAAGCUUUAGUUUCUCACAGAAAAAAAAAAAAAAAAAAAAAAAAAAAAAAAAAAGGUCCAUAGGAUACACAGCUAACUGAUUGCCAGACCAUAACUGGGAGGUUAAAGCAAAGGAUGCCUCUGACACCUUGGCUAUUCCUCUCUGUGACAGAUUUGAUGGAGAGAGUGCUGCUGCUUACAGCUAAUAAAUCUGAUUGAGGUAGGAGUCAGGCGGAGGUGACACAGUGAAGCCAAGUCAGGAGGUCAAUAAUAGCAAAAUCACUCACAGGUGGGUGGGAUAAUGGUCAAAGGCUACAGGAGAAGAAUUUCAGGUACCAUGUUCAGAUUUAGGGUAGGGAUGAUUUAGGGUAGGGAUGCCAUCAUUACUAUUACUUGUUGCCUAACAAACUCGCUGUUUUGAAUAAGUCAAGGUUAAAGAAACAAUAGAGCAGUAAGUAAAUUAGCACUAGUUCACAAUUCUCUGGGGAGCUGCAUAUUCUCUGGGCAGAAGUCUAGAUACAGUUCAUAAUAUAUAUGGAUUUGAUAUCUUUCACAAAUAUGUAUACUCUCUGAAAACUAGGCACAUCAUCCAUUAAUUUUGAUAACUAAAUUAAUUUCUAAAAGUAAAUUAAGACCUGCAUAGACUAAAGUUACUAAUCAAUAUUUGUGAACCAGUCUAGAAUCAGAACCACCGGAGACAUAGACCAAAUGGGAAACAAAGCAUUUCACAACACUAUUUUUAUUACUUAUUCUGUGCAAACACCUUCCUAAACCUUCCAUGCUAGAAAUGAUGCAGGGUCCCUGGCCUUGUGCUAUGGGAAGUCCCCUCCAAUUACAUUGUGUUUCUUUAGUGAAGAAGACUGGAGGAAUUCUUGCUACAUAAAUGUACACAUACUUGCCAACUGAAAAGUUCUCCUAAGACCAUCCUAAUGGCAUGGCAUUUCUUUCCUCUCUUUGGAAUGAGCCCAAGUAAAGAAAAUCUGAUCGUGCCACAUGCAAAGGCUCUCAUACCUCCCUGAUAUAAAGACACCACUUUAAAACACAGUUGGCUGUUUCUCCCAAUUAUUUUUUUCAGAGAGUUUCUAUUUCCAAUAAUAGUGCUAGUCUAGAGACUGUUUGGCUCCUAUCUGGGAAGAACAGCUUUAUAUUGCCUUUACCCCUGGGAUAGGAUUCCCAGUGUUCCAAUUUGCUUAAUGAUAAUGGAUCACUCUAAAAUAUUCCUGAUUUCACUUCCCCUCCCAUCCUUCCUGUAACCUCUCUCUAAGUGAUUUUCAGAUGCAAUUUCUUCUACCUAUCACCUACCAUGGUGCUUUUAAACCAAGGAACAACCAGUAAAAUUAAUGCAGAAAAUACAAAAUGCCUUUGAUGCACUCCAUCUUCCUCCUCUGUGUUCCCUAAGCUCUUGUAGAAAUCAGCCUCUACCAUUUUGCAUUGAAAGUCUCCAAACAUAUGUUUGUCUCAUUAUCAGGAUGUAAAACCACCUUGAGGACUAUUUUUCUUCAUCUCUCUAGCCCAAGCCUCUAGCUCUGUGCUGACAUAAUGUAGGUGGAAAAAUCAUUUUUGAUCCAAAGGGAACUGAACUUAAAAGAGAUUAUUACUCUCUUUAAAGAAGAUUAUAUAUUUUCUAUCUUUUGUACUCAACCACUGUAGAAUUUGUCAUCUACAUCUAGAACACUUAUUAAAAAAUAGAAACUAUGUUUAAUCAAGCACCAGUUAACUGAAAAAAAAAAGUUAAAAUUAACAGGAAAUUGAGAAUUAAUAAUGACAAAUUGCUUGGAACAUAUUAAUAGGCAUUAAUGUGUUAUUUAUUCUUUAUUUAGAAGUAGGAAUUAUGAAUGACUGACUACAGAAAGAUAUUUAAAAGGCUCUGUUUUUUUUUUCUUAAUGGAAUAAAUUUGGUCAACAUAAUUCACCCAUUCUUUUCAUCAUUCACUUGCCAUGCAACAUAAUCAGAGCUCUAGAUCACUUUGGGCAUGUGAAGAUUCAAAAAACAAUAUAAAUUUUCUCUUUCAGGAUAUUAUGAAGUAUGCACAGAACUAUGGAGCAAUUUGAGUCAGCCACUAAAAUUACUGCUUCCACAGAAGAUAGAGAGACACAGAGAAAUAAUAAUUUGUUCCUGUUUACAAGAAUAAACUUCUAGGGGCUCCUGGGUGGCUCAGUUGGUUAAGUGUUUGCCUUCUGCUCAGAUCGAGCCCCUGCUUUGGGCUCCCUGCUCAGCAGGGAGCCUGCUUCUCUUCUCCUUCUCCCUCUGCUGCUCCCCUUGUUUGUGCUCUGUGUCAAAUAAAUAAAUACAAUCUUUAAAAAAAAGAAUAAACUUCUAAAUAGAAAGAAAAUCCCAGUCCAUUGGCUGAACACAAUGGGUCUGUUAAGUAGGAGCGUGUAUGAUUAAGACACAAAGUUGUCACUUCCUUGAGAUAAGAUGCUUUACAAUAAAGUCAGCUUUACUGUCAAGCUUAGAACACACAAAACAGGCAUAAGAUAUAAGUUAAUAUGUUUUUGAGGUAAGCCUUUAUUACCAGAAGAAAAGAAAAAGUGAAAUAAUUCUCAGUAAAAUUAAACAACCAAGUGUUUCUUUGUCAGGGCCCUAACACUUGUUAAAUAAUCCUUUGUGUACUAACAAAUUAUUAGGGUUCUCUGUGUUCUGUAAUAGUGAAUUUUAGUGGCUGAACCAAACUGUUUCACAAGGCAAUACACAGCCUGUACUCAUCUAAGAAUGGAAAAUUUAUUUUGUUUUUUAACCAUUUCAUGCCCAAAAUGAGCUGGAGUACUGGUUAUAUUACAUAAGAAGUGAAUUACGUUUAUCAAUUUUCUUUCUUUCUUUUUUUUUUUUAAGAUUUUAUUUAUUUAUUCAUAGAGACAGAGAGAGAGGCAGAGAGAGAAGCAGGCAUCAUACAGAGAGCCCGACAUGGAAUUCGAUCCAGGGCCUCCAGGAUCACGCCCUGGGCUGCAGGCGGCACUAAACUGCUUUGCCACCGGGGCUGCCCUAUCAAUUUUAUUUCAGUAAGAAGACCACAUUUAGGAUGAUGACAUCUGUUGCUCUUUUAUAAACCGAGUUUAAUGUGCUAAUUCUUAGCCCCCGAUUGUCCUACUUUGGGAUAAUUUUUAAUUUACUUUAAAAACCACUUGGUAUUUUUAUGAGACAUUUAUAUUUUUAUCAGUAUAUCAGCACCUGACACGAGAGACAUUCAAUAAAUGUUUGUUUUUUAGAAAAUUAAAAAAAAAAGACUUACACAGUGUUUAUACUAUGCCAGGCAUAUUUCUAAGCACUUUAAAUAUUCUAAUCUAUUCAAUUUUCACUAUGAUGAGAAAGAUCAAUUUUUCCUCUGUAGAAAUGUGGACACUGAGGUACAAAGAUUCAGUAACUUGCCCAGGUUUACACAGCCAGUAAGGGGCAGAACCAGGAUCUGAACUGAAGCAGUAUAGCUUCAGAGAGAGUCCAUGU
rnacentral:lncRNA from 1 species